UACGGAGGGUGCGAGCGUUGUCCGGAAUCAUUGGGCGUAAAGGGCGCGUAGGUGGCCCCUCAAGCGUGCGGUGAAAGUCAGGGGCUCAACCCCUGAUCGGCCGUGCGAACUGGGGAGCUCGAGCACUGUAGAGGCAGGCGGAAUUCCGGGUGUAGCGGUGGAAUGCGUAGAGAUCCGGAAGAACACCGGUGGCGAAGGCGGCCUGCUGGGCAGUUUUGCUGACACUGAGGCGCGACAGCGUGGGGAGCAAACAGG
rnacentral:rRNA from 1 species